GCCUCCUGUAGUCAUCUCUGGCUUGCUGUGCAAGGGAGCGUCUCUUCUCAUCUGCUGCCUUGGAUUUCCACACUGGAACAAAAAAGGAAUCCUACAGGAGCGAUCAACAGCAAGUUUAAAGCUUGCUACCCUUUGCCCAUCUUCCUGCUUGAUGAAAUGGAAGAGUAACCCAUUUCACAAGCUGAAGGAUUCACUCAGUUGUGAGACCAUUUGCCACAUGUCUCCCAUGUGUUAAGUGGCACAGUUUGUAUUACUUUAAAAGAUUAAAAACCAGUUUUUUUCUGUGACAAGUUUAAAAAUCUGCAUAUUUUUUCUUGGUACCAGGUCCCUUUGUACUUAGAGACUUCUUGGUUUUGUUUCAGAUGCUGACUCCUGGCUCAGACAUGGAUUUCUGUAGUGCCUUUCAUGUAAACUGUGUUUUUUUUAUUCCCAUGAAGAUCUGUCUCAGACAGAAGUCUUGGCUGUGGGUACAGAGACCAUGUCGCAGAAGAGUAAGUCUCUCUGAAAUACAAGAGAGAGAGGACUUAGGAGGUAGCCACUUUCUGAUGUCUGAGCAUCUCGUGAGGAGGCUGCACAUGAGCAGAGCAGAGCUGCAAUGAAGCCACAUGUGCAUAGGCAGUUAUAUCUCCACAUCAGGUAGAUGGCUGCAUAGGAUUUAUCUGAAGGAUGCUCGCCCAUCACCCAGACCCACACUUCAUUGUCAGCGCCUAGUUUCUAUGUCACUGACUUCCUGUAGGCUGGAAAAGAAGCAGCUCUUUCACAAAUGCUGUUUGCUGGGUAGCUCUUUGCAAGACCUGUAUUGCAGCUGCUGUGCCGUACCAACUGCUGUUGGUGACAGAGCCCCCCCAAAAGCAACUGUACAUGAAGAAAGCUCAACUGGGAUGCAGCCCACACUUGCCAAUUUUUUCAUAUUCCUUGAGCCAGACCAGUGAAGGAGGAAUUUCUGAGUCUGGGAGCAAAGGAGAAGAAUCACCACUGUUUCUUUUCUUGCUUUAAUUCCUGAACACUGUCCCCCCCAAACUGUGUGAGGGUGAGCUCACAAAUAGAGCACAUGGAGGAGACCUGGGAGAAGAGAGCAAUCUUCCUAGCAGGGCAUGCUGUGUAAUCCUGGCAAGGGAACUUCAAAUCUAAAAUCUCAGUGUGAACUGCUCAUCAGAUCUGGUGCCUCAGGACAGAUAUUCAAAUCCAUGGUUACAUUAAAGACAGAUUCAGAGGCACCAUUUAGUGGAAAACUUAAUGAGGUGCAUCUCCUGGGGGCAAAUAAACCCUGUUUUCCCAGCUAGGGGAGUUAAGCAAUUUGGUCAAGGACAGAAUGUUUGGGCCAGGGAGUAAAAAACAUUGUGUACCUGGCCAAAACUAUUUCAUUGAAGGUGGAUUUAGUUAUGUUUAGAAAUAAGCCUAUAUAAGGAUAUAUUACUUCCUGUGAUAUAUGUUAUAAAGUAAUUCGUGUUUUGUGAAAGAUAAAUCAUGUUUGUAUAAAUAAAGAAUUUAAUAAAGUAACUUUAGGUACACCGAGCCACAGAAAGGAGAAAGAUUGCUUCACCGAAUUCCAGCACUGCAGAUGCUAACAAAGCUGCAAUUAGCAAGUUAAUAAAACCAGCCCCAACAAAGGUAACUAGUAAUGGGACAGUCCAGGAAACUCCCCGGGCAUGAGAACUUGAUAAUCGCCACCAAUCAAGAUAACCAGGGUCCUCAAGAAAACCUACAUUUCAAUACCCGGUUCCUGUAAACCAAAAUCUGCACACAUCAAAAUUCAUCGCUGCGCCCGAAAGUGUUUUUGUCCAGUCCAUGGUGGAGAAAGGAAACUAUAUGAAUAUGGGAAUCCACGGCAGAAACAAAGGGACGUUUGCCCCAGGCCAGAAAAACUGUAUAAAAACAGACUGCCCAGGACGGCAUUUGUGAACACAGGGGGAUAUGAUGCGAUAGAGGUCUGAUCAACGUGUGUGUUCAUCCAGCACCGAACCCGGGCUCGGUGUUGUCUUUUUGGUUGUGGCUUCCCAGGGCCAUAUUUUCAGUCAUAAAAAUAAAAAUUGUUGUUUUAAUAUUUUUAA